CCGGCUGCGCUGCUGCCCCGCGGCCCCCGGCGUCCUCCUCCUCGGCCCCUGGCUUCGGGAAACCCAGCUGCUCCUCUCAGGUCUCUGCGGACUCCUCGCCGUCAACCUUUGACCCCACACAACACCCCCGCCCCCCAUGCCGCUGUCCCUAAACUCUGCGCGAACCCACCGCCGCCUUCGCGGAACGUUUGGCUACUUUUAAUUUCAAAGUGAAACGAGCAGAGGUUUCCCCGCCGCACCCAGAACUUUCCCUAGACCCUCUUCUGCACUUUCCAGGGCUGCCCCGCGGAGCCAAGCCCACUGCAGAGCACUCGGAUCCUGACACCCGGCGCCGAGUUGGGGAAGGACCUGAAAGGGCUACCAGGUGGUUAGGUGUUGAGUUGGAAGCAAGGAGUAAUUAACAUUGAGACAAAAGCUGCCGCUGAAAUUCGCUGCGGCCGCUGCCUCUUCCCGCUUUAAUCCCAGACCUCCAGUCAUUGGGCAGCUCCUCAGAGGCAAGAAGUCAACACCAUGGCAACCCGACAAGCCUAUCAGAUCACCGGCUGGUGUGACAGCAGCAACGCUGCAGGCUGGAGUGGGCUGGGCAGAAGAGCAGAGUGGCCUCUACGCUCAGCGACAAAAUGAUACCAUCAUUUUUAUGUGACUCAUAUGCAAAACGAAAUACAUUCAUCUCUGAGGUCUGCUGAUGGGAAAUAAAAUCAGAUAUUUCACUUCUAACUCUAUCAAGCAAAAGAAAAAUCAGUUGUGAUUCCAAGAAGAGAUGAACUCUUGGCUUACCACUGAAAAGCUGUAAGCAUCCAAACUACGAAGAGCUCUUUGGACCCAUUGGACUCUGGCUUUCCUGGCUGAUGUGUGGCAUUGACUUCAAGGCGACAGAGGCAGAAGACUUUUUUAACCUUCGUUAUUUAUAAGUUUACUCUUGAAAGUGAAUGAAAAAGUUAAAUGUGGCUUCUUGGAGGUGGGCCUGGCAGUCUGGGCUAUAGAUUAGCUAACCAAGCCACAUGGCUCUCAUAGGGUUUAGCACAAUUCCAACCUGAAUUGCUCUGAUCCCUGGCCUAUUUUGAUAAAGCACCACUCUUUUUCCCCUUUUAAAGACAUAAUAGGGUGUUCCUUGGAUUAAAAAUAAUUUUCCUAUACAAAUACCUGAUUUUUAAAUUUCAAACAGAAUGAAAAUCAUGUUUAAGAUUUUAGAAUGCCCUUUGAGAUACUAGAAAUACCCUAGGAUGCUGGGAUGAUUUGUCACUACUUAAAAAAAAAGUGAUACUCAGCAGGAAGAGUUGAGAAGACUGCAGCUCAGACUCUGAAUUAAGUACAAGGUACCAAGAAUAUGCAGUGGCCUGAAAUGUUACACCAAAGAGCGUGUGUGUCGAUGUUUAGCAGAAGGACAAAUCCUUUCUCAUUAUGAAGGACAGUGUGUCUACUGUGAGUUUGGGUCUGAUACUCUUCUUUUCAUCGCUUGCAUUCGGCGACUCCACUUCUAUUUCUCACUCUGAUGCAUAUCCACAUGGGCCCGUGUUGGUUCAUGAUUAUUUGGUCCUUCUUUUGUAUCAGGCUGGAAAAGUGCUCUUCUUUUUCUCCCAUAGCACCCCAAUUAUACUGAAAUUAUUUUGUUUAAGAGCCUGUCUCUUUCCUUAAAAUGGAAGUACCCUGACGAUAGGGACCAUGUUUUGCCAGUGUUUACAGCCUGUCUUCUAAUGGGUGCUCAAACAUUACUGAGUGGAAUAGCAUGGCAUGCACGCUUCCAAAAGUUCUCAGUCUUUCGACCUGUAAUUGCUACACAUUGAAUUUUUUAAUAGAGAGACUUCUAUCAAGGAUCCUUCUUUCAGUUUAGCUAUUUCUGCCCCAAUUUGCUAUUCCAUCUUUCUGUACUAGGUUUCAAGGUGAGGCUCUGCCCCCAUUACAUGAAAAUGUGCUCUGCUAAAGCCUUCUGCAAAUCAUGUCCUCCAAGACGCCUGCUGAUGGUGAUCGUCUCUGGAUUCUCCUACCUUUGGGCAUGUUCCAAAUAUGUUAUGGGAGUAGAAGCCAGAGACCCUGGCACAAAGGGCUGCCUUUACAGCCUUCCUUGUGGCAGGGAUGGCUAGGUCUGCAUUACCAUGUGUUAUGUGAUGAUUCACUUCACCCCAAUUUGCCCUUUGGGAACUGCUGUGAAAACUUCUUUUGUACAGUAAAUCAUGACAGCAUUUGGCCUUCAUUUGGGGGUGAAUGCAUGGUUUAUAUAUUAAAGCCAUUUCUUUUUUCCCUUUAGAAAUACCAUGUGGCCUCAAUUUGUUUGUAAGCACAAAUCAAAUGGCAGUUUGGGAUCCUCCAGAUGAUCCAGAAUAUGCUGUAUUAAGUUUUUAAAGGUGAUCAGAGCAACAAAAACCUAGCAUCGAAAAUAAAUGUUAGAGAUGACUUGAAUCCCCCAGAAUACAUUCAUAUGCCCACAGAGUUUCUCAGAUGCUUAGAGAAAAUCUGUCCUGAAACGUUAAAAUUAGGGCAUUACUAAUACAGGUCACAAAUUAAUAUACUAUUUAGAAAUACG